GACGAACGCUGGCGGCGUGCUUAACACAUGCAAGUCGAACGGAAAGGCCCUGCUUUUGUGGGGUGCUCGAGUGGCGAACGGGUGAGUAACACGUGAGUAACCUGCCCUUGACUUUGGGAUAACUUCAGGAAACUGGGGCUAAUACCGGAUAGGAGCUCCUGCUGCAUGGUGGGGGUUGGAAAGUUUCGGCGGUUGGGGUUGGACUCGCGGCUUAUCAGCUUGUUGGUGGGGUAGUGGCUUACCAAGGCUUUGACGGGUAGCCGGCCUGAGAGGGUGACCGGCCACAUUGGGACUGAGAUACGGCCCAGACUCCUACGGGAGGCAGCAGUGGGGAAUAUUGCACAAUGGGCGGAAGCCUGAUGCAGCAACGCCGCGUGCGGGAUGACGGCCUUCGGGUUGUAAACCGCCUUCGCCUGUGACGAAGCGUGAGUGACGGUAAUGGGUAAAGAAGCACCGGCUAACUACGUG
rnacentral:rRNA from 1 species